rfam:Wolbachia endosymbiont of Glossina morsitans morsitans contig_0198, whole genome shotgun sequence.
GUAAAUUGCACAGCAAAUGGUGUCAUCCCAGUGCCUAGACACUGGGAUCCAGAAGACUUAAUUUCAACCAAGUGGCUGCAUAAUAAAGGUUGAAUUCCAGUGCCAAGCGCUGGCAUGACAUCCUCCCUUGUGGAAAUU